rnacentral:ncRNA from 1 species
UUUUUUGAGAGUUUGAUCCUGGCUCAGGAUGAACGCUGGCGACGUGGAUAAGGCAUGCAAGUCGAGUGGGUUUAGACCCACGGCAAACGGGUUAGUAAUACAUAGGAACGUACCCCUAAGUCGUGAAUAACUUGGAGAAAUCCAGGAUAAUACACGAUAAUCUCUACGGAGUAAUGUCCCGACGCAAGUCGGGACGCUUAGGGAGCGGCCUGUGUCCUAUCAGCUAGUUGGUGAGGUAAUGGCUCACCAAGGCUAUGACGGGUAGGGGGCGUGAGAGCGUGAUCCCCAACAUUGGAACUGAGACACUGUCCAAACACCUACGGGUGGCUGCAGUCGAGAAUAUUGCGUGCGGGAUGAAGGCCCUUGGGUCGUAAACCGCUUUUCUAAAGGAAGAAAUUGUGUCUCACUGUUAUUUGGUGUAACAAUUUUUAAAUUUUUAAUUUUAUAAUUUUGUAAAUAAAUCUUAAUUUUUGAAUUUUUAAACAUUAAGACAUUAAAAAUUAUUUAAAAAUUAAAAAUUUUAAGGCGGAAUUCCUCUUUUUCGGGAAUGACUGACACAAAAUAAUAGUGAGGCACGAUUUGACGGUACUUUAGGAAUAAGAGGUUGCUAACUCUGUGCCAGCAGCAGCGGUAAUACAGAGACCUCAAGCGUUAUCCGGAUUUAUUGGGCGUAAAGAGCAUGUAGGCGGAUAUGGAAACUGCAUUUGAAACGGUAUAUCUAGAGGAAGUGAGAGAUCGAUGGAACGUAUGGUGUAGCAGUGAAAUGCGUUGAUAUCAUACGGAACACCAAAGGCGAAGGCAUUCGAUUGGCACUUUUCUGACGCUGAGAUGCGAAAGCGUGGGUAGCGAAUGGGAUUAGAUAAAUCCCGCCACCGCAUUAUAAUAGUGGCAAAGGGUGUCCCUCUUGAAAGUGAUUUUA